GAUGAAGAACGUAGCGAAAUGCGAUAAGUAAUGUGAAUUGCAGAAUUCAGUGAAUCAUCGAAUCUUUGAACGCACAUUGCGCCCCCUGGUAUUACGGGGGGCAUGCCUGUUCGAGCGUCAUUUCAACCCUCAAGCUCUGCUUGGUAUUGGGCGUCGCCGGGGAGUCUCCCCGGCGUGCCUCAAAGCCAUCGGCGGUGGUGCCUUUCUCUAAGCGUGGUAGAAUUUUUAUUCGCUUCUGAGUUGGGCUUCGCCUGCCGGACAAACCGGGCCCUCGCGGCCCACCUUCUCAGGUUGACCUCGGAUCAGGUAGGGAUACCCGCUGAACUUAAGCAUAUCAAUAAGCGGAGGA
rnacentral:misc_RNA from 1 species